ACUGUAGCUGUUAGCUAGCUUGGCACAGACCACACAGUGUGUUGUUGUUGUUGUUGUUGUUGUUGUUGUUGUUGUUGUUGUAUAGCAAAGAAGCUGAGGCAUGUCAGUCAGACUUACACUCCUGUAUAACCUCACGGCCUCCGUCAUGUUUCCCAUUGAGUUUAUCUGCGCCGCGCAUCUUCAGCAACAUUGGCCUUUAUUCAGAAAAUACGUUGGCACCCUUCUAAAUACUGGAGGUCUGCGACCAGUUAGCAUGAGCGCCGAGGGAGUGUUGGUCCUGCGACCAGAAGCAGAACUCUCAAUUUUAAAGCCUGGGCAAAGAAAACCAAAGCUAAAGUUUCUGCGUGGCUGGAUUCCAUCGCAGAUAUUAAAGCUUAGAAGGACCGAUUGCUACAGCAGUGCAGCCAUGCUGUUGGAGGGAUGUCGCCUGACGAGAAAACAUCCAGUCCGACUGCUCUUCUCUACCUACCAAGUG